GGAGCUGCUCACCCGGCAAAGGGACUUGGCAGUAAAACUGCAGCAACACUUCACUGUGUCCCAGAUGAGGUUUGAAAACCUCCAGCAGGAACUGGGGCAGACCACAGCCCAGGAUGAGAGCCUCCUGCAGAUGGAGCUGCUGAAGCAGAAACACUAUGUCCCAGGCAACACCUGUUAAGAAGACUGAGAAGGCUGGAUGAAGCCAGGAACACCUUGAAGGCAUGACAUUCUACACUCCAGGUUCAAGGCCUCCUCAGAAAAUGCCACCUCUUUUCAGCUUUGAACUCACUAGUGAGGCAAAUAUCAACGUACCAUCAGGGGAUCCAGCCUCAAUCUGAUCCAUAUCAGUGGGCUCACUAUCACUGGAGAAAAUUUUGUGUCAGAAAUAAGUCUAAAAUACAGAGAACACAAGACAAAUUAUUAAGAACCCUGACUCCAUAUGUGAUGGGAAAUCUGACAAGCAAGACUGUGUUAACGUCACACUGCCAUCUAGACAGAACACACCAAAAGCACAAGAAUCUCUCUACUGCAGUGCUGAAGCUGACACCAUGUCAUGGGCAAGUGUAGCUGAAGAUAAUUCACUAAGGAGAAUAAGCCAGUUCCUCACCGCUUUUGCUCUUCCAUAAUGAAAUUACAAAGGAAACUGUAAAUUCCUUAAUAUUUUUGUUUUAUAUCUUGGGAUAUUUAUGCUUUGGUUUUUGGUUUUCUUCAUUUUCAUUUAAGGUUUUGUUAACUUUUGUUAUUACUUUUAUCUUGUCAUUGCUUUAAUAGUUUGCUAAGGCUAUACACUGUAUAUAAUGAUACUGUUUUAAAGGCCCCAUUGAGUAAAAUGAAUGUA